ensembl:lncRNA novel transcript
AGAUAUAUUUUGCUCCCAAACGCCGCCCUAGAAGAAGGACUACACUGAAAUGAAACGGAGAUGAUUAAAGUCUGAUUUAUAGGCUGUACAAGCCCUGAAAGCAAGAACGGGGUUCACGGCAUCUUGAUACCCCCAUGUGGGGACGUUUUGGCGAUUUUAUUUACAAGAAAGGGAUUUUACACCGGAGAGGCUUUUAAAUAUGCUAACAGACUGGACCAGCUUUCUCAUCCCCACUGGCUGAUUAAUGAUUCCUCCAUGCCAACCCGGUUCUCAGAGACACCAAGGCCAGCUCUCCAAAGACCUGGGAAAAAAUUACUUCAUGUCCUUGUAAAAACGUUUUCACAAAUUUAAGUGCACCAGCUUUGAAGCAAGACAGAAUUGGGAUCAAGUCCCUGUUCCACCCUUACCAGAAAGUCUUUUCGUAGCUCACAAGGGGACAUCAAAGAUGACAAAGAGGAGUGGAAGAAGACAGAGAGAAUCAAUGUGAGGAGCCUGGAACAGGGCUCUGAAUUGUCUUCCCACAGUGAAAUCACUUGUCUAUUGCUGAGCCAAGAAUUUGACUCUGAGCAUCUAGGAUGAGAAAGAAGAACUGGCACCUACGCCAUCUCUGCCCCUCGGGACUGACUAUUUUGGUAAGUUCAGUUCACCCAUGGAGGAAGUGGUUCUCGUACUUUAUCUGCAUGUAACAACAAAAUUCAGGUUCUUGGGGCUGAUGCUUGGAGAUUGUGAUUCAGAUCUGGGAUGGGGCUCAGGAACCUGCAUUUUAACAAUGGAGGUUCUAAUGUGGUCAUUGGCAGGUUGUUCUAAUGUG